AUAAGGANCCCNAUAUGCAAGUCGAGCGGUAACAGAAAGUAGCUUGCUACUUUGCUGACGAGCGGCGGACGGGUGAGUAAUGCUUGGGAACAUGCCUUGAGGUGGGGGACAACAGUUGGAAACGACUGCUAAUACCGCAUAAUGUCUACGGACCAAAGGGGGCUUCNGCUCUCGCCUUUANAUUGGCCCAAGUGGGAUUANCUANUUGGUGAGGUAAUGGCUCACCANNGCGACGAUCCCUAGCUGGUU
rnacentral:rRNA from 1 species